AACGCACAUUGCGCCCCUUGGUAUUCCGAGGGGCAUGCCUGUUCGAGCGUCAUUAUGACCACUCAAGCCUCGGCUUGGUAUUGGGGUUCGCGAUCUUCGCGGCUCUUAAAAUCAGUGGCGGUGCCAUCUGGCUCUCAGCGUAGUAGUAUAUCUCGCUAUUGGGUCCGGUGGUUGCUUGCCAACAACCCCCAACUUCUCACGGUUGACCUCGGAUCAGGUAGGGAUACCCGCUGAACUUAA
rnacentral:misc_RNA from 1 species